rfam:Nicotiana attenuata strain TT chromosome 5, whole genome shotgun sequence.
UCCGUUAUCGUCCAGCGGUUAGGAUAUCUGGCUUUCACCCAGGAGACCCGUGUUCGAUUCCCGGUAACGGAA